ACCACGGCUUGCAAAUCCAUUUUCACCGCCCUUCUCCUCCUCUUCCUCCUUGUUUUUCCAUUGCUUGCUCUCUCUAACAGAGACCCGCAGAGGGAAGAGAGAAAAAGGAAGGAGAAAGAGUGCAAGUCUCAGUGUGAGAGGUCUAGAGAAGGAAAGCGUGAGGUGAGGCAGUGCAAGCAAAAGUGUGAGGAGAGGUACAGGAGAGACCCACAGAGGGAAGAGAGAAAAAGGCCCGAGAAAGAGUGCAAAUCUGAGUGUGUGAGGUUUAGAGAGAGAAAGUGUGAGGUGAAGCAGUGCAAGCAAGAGUGUGAGGGGAGGUACAGGAGAGAGAAAGGGCAGGGCAGGGAUAUAGGGGAUAGAGCGAGAGCGAGAGCGAGCGGAGACUGCCAGGAGCGACUGGGAAUGCAAGAGUGGUUCUGCUUGAUGAAGAGAAGCAUGAUUCAUACAAUGUGCAACAAGGAGAUAUUGCGUGGUUGCCUGCUGGCAAAACCGGUUAUGUCAUCAACACAGACAGCCAAAUAGACCUUCACGUUGUCGGACUCAUUCAAACCAUCUCAACUCCAAGGGAAUUCAAGAUCUUCUUUGAUGCCACAGGUCAGAACCCGCCUUCGUAUUUGAGGGCUUUCAGCAAUGAAAUCCUAGAGGGUUCCUUCAACGU